ACGAACGCUGGCGGCGUGCUUAACACAUGCAAGUCGAACGGAAAGGCCCUGCUUGCAGGGUACUCGAGUGGCGAACGGGUGAGUAACACGUGGGUGAUCUGCCCUGCACUUCGGGAUAAGCCUGGGAAACUGGGUCUAAUACCGGAUAGGAGCCAUUUUUAGUGUGAUGGUUGGAAAGUUUUUUCGGUGUAGGAUGAGCUCGCGGCCUAUCAGCUUGUUGGUGGGGUAAUGGCCUACCAAGGCGGCGACGGGUAGCCGGCCUGGGAGGGUGGACGGCCACAUUGGGACUGAGAUUCGGCCCAGACGCCUACGGGGGGCAGCAGUGGGGAAUAUUGCACAAUGGGCGCAAGCCUGAUGCAGCGACGCCGCGUGGGGGAUGACGGCCUUCGGGUUGUAAACUCCUUUCGCUAGGGACGAAGCUUUUUGUGACGGUACCUAGAUAAGAAGCACCGGCUAACUACGUG
rnacentral:rRNA from 1 species